rnacentral:rRNA from 1 species
GAUGAACGCUAGCGACAGGCCUAACACAUGCAAGUCGAGGGGCAUCGGGGAUGUUAGCUUGCUAAUAUCUGCCGGCGACCGGCGCACGGGUGAGUAACGCGUAUGCGACCUGCCCGUCACAGGGGGAUAAUCCGGAGAAAUCCGGUCUAAUACCGCAUAAUAUCGUGAAGCUGCAUGGUUUUGCGAUUAAAGGAGCGAUCCGGUGACGGAUGGGCAUGCGUGACAUUAGCUAGUCGGCGGGGUAGCGGCCCACCGAGGCGACGAUGUCUAGGGGUUCUGAGAGGAAGGUCCCCCACACUGGUACUGAGACACGGACCAGACUCCUACGGGAGGCAGCAGUGAGGAAUAUUGGUCAAUGGGCUUACGCCUGAACCAGCCAAGUCGCGUGAGGGAAGACUGCCCUAUGGGUUGUAAACCUCUUUUGUCAGGGAGCAAUUGGCGCUACGUGUAGCGUUAUCGAGAGUACCUGAAGAAAAAGCAUCGGCUAACUCCGUGCCAGCAGCCGCGGUAAUACGGAGGAUGCGAGCGUUAUCCGGAUUUAUUGGGUUUAAAGGGUGCGUAGGCGGAAUGCCAAGUCAGCGGUAAAAUCGCGGGGCUCAACCUCGCUCCGCCGUUGAAACUGGCGUUCUUGAGUGGGCGAGAAGUAUGCGGAAUGCGUGGUGUAGCGGUGAAAUGCAUAGAUAUCACGCAGAACUCCGAUUGCGAAGGCAGCAUACCGGCGCCCAACUGACACUGAUGCUCGAAAGUGUGGGUAUCAAACAGGAUUAGAUACCCUGGUAGUCCACACAGUAAACGAUGAAUACUCGCUGUUUGCGAUAUACAGUAAGCGGCCAAGCGAAAGCAUUAAGUAUUCCACCUGGGGAGUACGCCGGCAACGGUGAAACUCAAAGGAAUUGACGGGGGCCCGCACAAGCGGAGGAACAUGUGGUUUAAUUCGAUGAUACGCGAGGAACCUUACCCGGGCUUAAAUUGCAGUGGAAUGAUGUGGAAACAUGUCAGUGAGCAAUCACCGCUGUGAAGGUGCUGCAUGGUUGUCGUCAGCUCGUGCCGUGAGGUGUCGGCUUAAGUGCCAUAACGAGCGCAACCCUUAUCUUUAGUUACUAACAGGUUAUGCUGAGGACUCUAGAGAGACUGCCGUCGUAAGAUGUGAGGAAGGUGGGGAUGACGUCAAAUCAGCACGGCCCUUACGUCCGGGGCUACACACGUGUUACAAUGGGGGGUACAGAAGGCAGCUAGCGGGUGACCGUAUGCUAAUCCCAAAAGCCUCUCUCAGUUCGGAUCGAAGUCUGCAACCCGACUUCGUGAAGCUGGAUUCGCUAGUAAUCGCGCAUCAGCCACGGCGCGGUGAAUACGUUCCCGGGCCUUGUACACACCGCCCGUCAAGCCAUGGGAGCCGGGGGUACCUGAAGUACGUAACCGCAAGGAUCGUCCUAGGGUAAAACUGGUGACUGGGGCU